GGAGAUGUAGCUCUGUUGUAGAGUGCGUGCUUAGCAUGUAUGAGGUCCUGGAUUCAAUUCCCAGUACCUCCA
rnacentral:tRNA from 1 species